rnacentral:rRNA from 1 species
AUGCAAGUCGAGGGGCAUCAGGAAGAAAGCUUGCUUUCUUUGCUGGCGACCGGCGCACGGGUGAGUAACACGUAUCCAACCUGCCCUUUACUCGGGGAUAGCCUUUCGAAAGAAAGAUUAAUACCCGAUGGCAUAGUUCUUCCGCAUGGUAGAACUAUUAAAGAAUUUCGGUAAAGGAUGGGGAUGCGUUCCAUUAGGUUGUUGGUGAGGUAACGGCUCACCAAGCCUUCGAUGGAUAGGGGUUCUGAGAGGAAGGUCCCCACAUUGGAACUGAGACACGGUCCAAACUCC